UCCUGGAGACUGUUUCCUGCUGCAGGAGGUUUGAGCGGGGAGAGAUCACUCACUGUCACGACCCAGGGGUCUCCAACCCGGGUCUGCAGGGUUCAUGGGAGCAGCCACACUCCAACCCUCCACCUGGAAGCCUGCUGAAAAUUGCUUACCUCAGACCCAUGAAGUUCCGCCCCAGUUUGAGGCUCCACUCCUGAGGUCCUAUUGGAGGAGUCCCAGGAAAGCUCCCUGGCCCUGCGUAAGACAGCAGCAGGAACACGAAGCUGACUGAACACCAGGCCUGCUCCCGGUUCUGGACCGUGCAUUGCCUGGUUCUGCUGCCGCUCCCCUGGCUUGAUUUCCUGGCAUCUGAGUUGUGGUGGUGAUCACAAGUUUGUCUUUUGCUGUUGAUCUUCCAGUCUCCUGACCUGGCUGACUCUCCACUCCUGUCAUGGCUCCCCAUCCAUCCUGGAGCUGAACACCAGAUGGGAGCUGAUGGAUUGUCCUUGGUGGGCCAUCUUCUUGUGUCUGAUGAGAGGGCCAGGAGCAGAUGCAACACGCCUGGCCAGGACCGGGCUAAACAGCCUGUAAUGCUAGACAGUCAGCCCGUGAGGCCAGUUUGCAGAAUGUGGAAGAGCCCUUUGGCGAGGCGUUGGAGGAUUCACCAUGAAGGUGGCAGCAGCCGCAGUGCCUGGGGUCCCCAUGGGCCAAGCCUCCACUCCUGACACUCCAGGCUAAUCUCCCCCUGCUCUCAGUGGGGCUUGGCUUUAGCUGCUGGGCCUGUGAGCCUAGACCAGGCGUCUCAAACUCCAAUGACCACGAGGGCUGCAUGAGGACUAGCUCAUUGGCCCGAGGGCCGCAUCACUGACACCCCUCCCCCCUCGCUGCCCGAGGGCCUGCCCCCAGAGGG